CCUACGGGAGGCAGCAGUGCGGAAUAUUGGUCAAUGGGCGCGAGCCUGAACCAGCUAAGUAGCGUGCAGGAUGACUGCCCUACGGGUUGUAAACUUUUUUUAUCAAGGAAUAAAGUGAGGCACGUGUGCCUUUUUGUCUGUAUUUUAUGAUUAUGGAUCGGCUAACUCCGUGUCAGCAGCCGAGGUAAUACGGAGGAGCCGGUCGUUAUCCGGAUUUAUUGGGUUGAAAGGGAGCGUAGAUGGGUUGUUAAGUCAGUGGUGAAAUUUUGCGGCUCAACCGUAAAAUUGCAAUUGAUACUGGCAGCCUUGAGUACAGUUGAGGUAGGCGGAAUUCGUUGUGUAGCGGUGAAAUGCUUAGAUAGCACGAAGAACUCCGAUUGCGAAGGCAGUCUACUAAACUUCCACUGACAUUGAUGCUCGAAAGUGUGGGUAGCAAACAGGAUUAGAGACCCGAGUAGUC
rnacentral:rRNA from 1 species